GCAUUUGCCAAGACCGUCUAGUGGACGCAAGUCCAUCCACGUGGUCUUCAUUAUGUUCCAACCUGGUUUUCCAUGUAUGUCUGACUUUGUGAUGGCUCAAUUGAAGAAGCUAGGCUCACAAUACCAAUUUGCACCCAAAGAUGAGAGGUACGUGAAGUGACCACGUCUACACAACGGAACAUACGCCGAUGCUUCGAUUCUACAACGUGUAACCCAGGUACGUAAAGAAACGCUUUUUAUUCAUUCAAUUUAGUAUUCUUAGGGCUGAAGUGAUCUAAAAUAGCAGGAUCCGCGGUGAGCGCAGAAAAGUGUUGAUGCGGUACCAGUUUAUUUAAAAAGUGGAAACCUCAAAGUCCUUAUGUACUUUAAUAAUGAUAUAAGAUCUUAAUUACUACAUUUCGUAUGAUAUGGUGGUUGUAAGACCCCGUCAUAAGUGUUACGUAGCUGUCGCGUGAUAUGAAAAUAUUAUUAAAUGUCGUUAUAAAUGUAUAUGUAUGAUUAUACUACUACUAAGUGUAACACAGCUGUCACCUGUAACGAGGAUCUAAAGAGACUCAUUCAAAAGGUGUAUCCAUCAUGUACCUACAGCAACACAGGUUAAAUACUUUUGUCCUGUAAUUGGACAUAUAUUAAUUAAUUAACAGUGUUGUACACGAAGCAAACUUUACGAUGAAUGUGUCUAUUGUGCUAAAUUCUAAACUCUAUUAAGUCUUGUUCUGAUAAAACUGGGCUUAAUUCAUGUGCGUAAAGUGUCGUCCCAGAUUA